rnacentral:tRNA from 1 species
GGGCUGGUGGCGUAAUCCGGUAUCGCGCUCCCUUGGCUUGGGCCCAUAAGACUCCGAGUUCAAAUCUCGGCCAGUCCA